rnacentral:misc_RNA from 1 species
UCUCCGUUGGUGAACCAGCGGAGGGAUCAUUACCGAGUUUACAACUCCCAAACCCAAUGUGAACGCUGCCACACUGUUGCCUCGGCGGGGUCACGCCCCGGGUGCGUCGCAGCCCCGGAUCCUUGCGGCCGCCGGAGGAACCACACAAACUCUUUCUGCAGUCCCCUCGCGGACGUAAUAUCUUUCAGCUCUGGGCAAAAAUUCAAAAUGAGUCAGAACUUUCAACAACGGAUCUCUUGGUUCUG